GACGAACGCUGGCGGCGUGCCUAAUACAUGCAAGUCGAACGCAGUGGGGAUGGGUGAGUAACACGUGGGUAACCUCCCAUCAGAGGGGAUAACACUUGGAAACAGGUGCUAAAACUGAUAUGGAUGGAUGAACCCGCGGUGCAUUAGCUAGUUGGUGGGGUAACGGCUCAACAAGGCUACGAUGCAUACCCGACCUGAGAGAGGGAUAGGCCAAAAUGGGACUGAGACACGGCCCAGACUCAUACGGUAGGCAGCAGUAGGGAAUCUUCGGCAAUGGACGAAAGUCUGACCGAGCUACGCCGCGUGAAUGAAGAAGGUUUUCGGAUCGUAAAGCUCUGUUGUUAGAGAAGCGGUAUCUAACCAGAAAGCCACGGCUAACUACGUGCCAGCAGCCGCGGUAAUAC
rnacentral:rRNA from 1 species